GCUAAACGCGAAGAACCUUACCAGGCCUUGACAUGCAGAGAACUUUCCAGAGAUGGAUUGGUGCCUUCGGGAACGUCUGACACAGGUGCUGCAUGGCUGUCGUCAGCUCGUGUCGUGAGAUGUUGGGUUAAGUCCCGUAACGAGCGCAACCCGUUGUCCUUAGUUACCAGCACGUCAUGGUGGGCACUCUAAGGAGACUGCCGGUGACAAACCGGAGGAAGGUGGGGAUGGACGUCAAGUCAUCAUGGCCCUUAGGCCUGGGCUACACACGUGCUACAAUGGUCGGUACAGAGGGUUGCCAAGCCGCGAGGUGGAGCUAAUCUCACAAACCGAUCGUAGUCCGGAUCGCAGUCUGCAACUCGACUGCGUGAAGUCGGAAUCGCUAGUAAUCGCGAAUCAGAAUGUCGCGGUGAAUACGUUCCCGGGUCUUGUACACACCGAGUCGGU
rnacentral:rRNA from 1 species